rnacentral:tRNA from 1 species
GCACCGGUGGCGAAGAUGGUAACGCGCAGGUCUGCAAAACCUGUAUCCGCGGGUUCGAGCCCCGCCUGGUGCUCCA